rnacentral:rRNA from 1 species
CUACGGGCGGCAGCAGUGGGGAAUCUUGCGCAAUGGACGAAAGUCUGACGCAGCGACUUCGCGUGGAGGAUGAAGCCUUAAGGGGUGUAAACUUCUUUUCUGGGGGAAGACGAAUGACGGUACCUCAGGAAUAAGGGACGGCUAACUACGUGCCAGCAGCCGCGGUAAUACGUAGGUCUCGAGCGUUAUCCGGAGUUACUGGGCGUAAAGAGUCCGUAGCCGGCUAAUUAAGUCUACUUUCAAAGACCGGAGCUCAACUUCGGGAAGGGAGUAGAUACUGAUUAGCUAGAGAUAGGUAGAGGUUAGUGGAAUUUCCGGUGGAGGGGUGGAAUCCGUUGAUAUCGGAAGGAAUGCCGAAAGCGAAAGCAGCUGGCUAUACCUUUUCUGACGGUGAAGGACGAAAGCAUGGGUAGCAAACAGGAUUAGAUACCCUGGUAGUC